CCUACGGGAGGCAGCAGUGGGGAAUUUUGGACAAUGGGGGCAACCCUGAUCCAGCCAUGCCGCGUGCGGGAAGAAGGCCUUCGGGUUGUAAACCGCUUUUAGUCAGGGAAGAAAAGGCGAGGGUUAAUAGCUCUUGUUCUUGACGGUACCGGCGGAAUAAGCACCGGCUAACUACGUGC
rnacentral:rRNA from 1 species